AGGAGCCAAAAAAGUUCUGGGAGGAAGGAGUUGGUGGCAAAAAUAGAGCCAGGCCUGAGGCAGGUGGAGAGCCUUCAGCUAGAGGCCUAGAAAAUUGAGGUCGAUGGCAUCUUAAACACUGUCAAUCAUCCUCAUGGGUCAGAGGUGACUGUCACCAAUGGACACUACCUCUGCUCAGGGUCAAGCAGGAUGACCUAGGGCUGAUCUAACCAGGCAGGUCCCGCUGGGGAGGAACUGUCCCAGGGAUACUGGGCUGGAGACACAGUUCAGUUCCCUGCCACCUCCACACUGCCACCGCUGCCCGCAGGGGACUGUUGAGUGUAGUUCAAGACUGGGAGAUGAGGAACGAAGGAACUGGAUCAUGAAAAAGGAAGGAACUCUUGGCAGACGGCCUGGGCAUUCCUCAGGCUGUGGGCUCAGCACCUUCCUGGGAGGGCAGGCAGUCAGGCACUAGCCCAGCCUCCUGCAGCUGAGUCAGCUUCUAAGUGAGGCCUCAGAGGGCGGCAGCAUCCAGAAUUCAAGGGGGACUUGGAGAUGAUCUUGGACUCCUCGCACUGGCACUGGAAAGAACCUGGGAGGGGUUUGUCAAAUCCCAGGGAGAGCCACCAUGCUGAACAACGCUGGAGGGCAGAAACAGGAAGCGCCGUGUUCCUGCUUAAUAACCUAGAGCUCUCGCUGGUAAGCCAAGAACGCUACCCAGAAAAACGGAGAUGGAAGGAGCUGGAAGGGCUCUGUGGGAACUGGAGCACCUUUCCAGGGCCUGUGAGGUCGAAGGCAGAAAGGAAACGUUAGCUCUGAACAUGAGCAGAACUGCUGUAGCCUCCCAACAUUGUGAUUUAUCACAGUAGCUGGGAAAAAAAACCCAACUGCCAGUGAGGUCAUAUAUUGGAGAAGGUUGGCAGAAUGUCGGAGACACCAUGUCUGAGGUUCCUUUUGUUCCUAGCAUUCUGUGACAGCUCCCUAAGCCUCACUGCUCCAAGAGGAUCAGAGAGAAUCACCAUGCAGGGCCUGGGAAGGUCUGGCCACGACCCCAGGCAGCUGUGACUCAGUCGCCAUUUUAUGCCAUGCUGUCUGGGAGUCACUGAAGGACUUCUUUCUGCUGGGCCCUCUCUAUGGGCUCUGACUAAGCAGAAAAGGAUAGACAGCUCAUCACCUGGCUCGGAGAGUCAGUCUGCCUGAGCUUCCCACCUGAGUGGUCAGCCUCCUCCUCUGCCUUUUGGAAAGCAGCAGCCCGCCUGCCUUUUCCUGAGGCUCCCAAAUAUAACUUUGCACUGUCUUUAAGCAAGGGAACAAGUCAUGGAAUCAUCAGAACGAGAGCCAAAGAACCAGCGCAGAGGAUAAAGAUAGGGAGGAAGCAAAACAACAACAACAACAACAACAAAAACAAAAAAACAAAAAAAAAUAACCCAAAAACAAACAAACAAAAAACAGUCAAGUGAUCGGGGAGGGGAAGUGGAUGAAACGGAGAUGGGUGAAUCCAGAGGGACCCAGGAUAUGAGAAGUGUUAAACUCAUCGCUGGCAUGUGUUCAAGGUCAGCUUGGGCUACUGAUGAAUUUCCAAGACCAACACCUGUGAUAGGGGUGAAACCCUGACUCAAAACUUUAGUAAUAAUUAACUAAGUAACUGUCUAACUAACUGAGCCUUGGGAAUCAAGACAAAAAGAGAACAAGGCAAAUUCUAAGCUGUGAUAGGACGUUAAGAGGGAGCUCUAACGCCCUCUGAUCUCUCAAAGCUGAAAAGAGGUAGCAUGUGCCCACAGCACAUUCUAUUCAGGGGCCCAGCCCAGCUGUGGUGACUAAAGAAACUCCAUUCUGUGCUAGGCAUCCAUCUUGAUACCUAAGAACAAGCUUGUCUGACUCAAGUUCCUGAAAGAUAAGUUCCUGACAACCCUGAGUCCUUGACCCCACCCAGAAAUGUACCCCAUCUGCUUGUUAUGAUGUGACUAACUGCUGAUUUGGCUUCUGUAACAUGCUUCUGCAGACAUUCAAGGAUUAUUUUGAGGUCACCUUGACUACCUAAUCUUGGCAGGACAAAAAAAAAGGAUUCCUGGCAGAUUUUAUUAUGUUAAAUUUUAUAUUAAGAAACACAACACAUGCCUAUGACAGUUUUACAGAGAAUUUAAAGUGGACAAGCACAAUGCCUUGAGGCCAGCUAUGGAGCUAACCCAAGUGAAGGCAUAUCAGGAGCCGUGGCCUUUCUGGGAAACUUGAGGAAUACAGAGAAAGGCAGAAUUGUCUCGAACUCAGAAAUCCGCCUGCCUCUGCCUCCCAAGUGCUGGGAUUAAAGGCAUGCACCACCACGCCCGGCCAUUGUUUGGUAGUCUUAAUGUGAUGUACUUCAACAUUUAACAAAGAGGGUUCUGCAGAAAAUACGGCUUUCCUUGGAGCUAGCCCAGGUUAGAGUAAUGGAGAGUCUGUGUAUUGUGGCUCUAUGGGAACCUGGCACACUGGAGCUAUCCCACCCUCUAUGAUCAAGUAUCUCUGUAGGGUCCUGUCUGUCUUUGGACCUCAUAUUUGAGAUGAAGCACUCUCCCCGCCUUCCCUUACAACAGUGGUUCUCAAAUGCACAGAUACUCCUAGGUAUCCAGUUAAGUCCGUCUGGGGUGUGGCCUGGGGAUUUGUGUUUUCAGGGAUUUGAGGUCCCAGGUAAUUGAAACGGUGCCUCAAGGACACACCAAGAACCACUAAGACUAUCCAGUAACGAUGUUGGGCUUACUUCCAAAACCAAAUGAAUUAAAACCUCCAGGAAUGGAACACAAGCAUCAAUAUGUCUUAAACUCAGUGAUUCCAAAGAUGACUCCAUGAUCAGAUCUACCUACUGUCCCAUGUGAAGGGUUUCCAAACGAUAGGGGAAAUAAAAGUACCACUAUUUGGUCCUGAAA